UACGUAGGUGGCAAGCGUUGUUCGGAAUUAUUGGGCGUAAAGGGCGCGUAGGCGGCUUGUUAAGUCGGCUGUGAAAGCCCGGGGCUCAACCCCGGAGGGUCAGCCGAUACUGGCAGGCUAGAGUACGGAAGAGGUAGCUGGAAUCCCCGGUGUAGCGGUGAAAUGCGUAGAUAUCGGGAGGAACACCUGAGGCGAAGGCGGGCUACUGGGCCGAUACUGACGCUGAUGCGCGAAAGCCAGGGGAGCGAACGGG
rnacentral:rRNA from 1 species